rnacentral:rRNA from 1 species
GAUGAACGCUAGCGGCAGGCUUAACACAUGCAAGUCGAGGGGCAGCAUGAGGGUUAGCAAUAACCCUUGAUGGCGACCGGCGCAAGGGUGCGUAACGCGUGAGCAACUUGCCCGUUUCAGGGGGAUAACCGGUGGAAACGCCGACUAAUACCCCAUAGUAUUGAUUUAAGGCAUCUUUUAUCAAUUAAAGAAUUUCGGAAACGGAUAGGCUCGCGUGACAUUAGCUGGAUGGCGGGGUAACGGCCCACCAUGGCGACGAUGUCUAGGGGUUCUGAGAGGAAGGUCCCCCANACUGGAACUGAGACACGGUCCAGACUCCUACGGGGAGGCAGCAGUGAGGAAUAUUGGUCAAUGGUCUGACGACUGAACCCAGCCAUGCCGCGUGAAGGUGACGGCCCUAUGGGUCUUAAACUUCUUUUGUAAGGGAGCAAUAAGGUCUACGUGUAGAUUGAUGAGAGUACCUUACGAAUAAGCAUCGGCUAACUCCGUGCCAGCAGCCGCGG